rnacentral:rRNA from 1 species
AGAGUUUGAUCCUGGCUUAGAACGAACGCUGGCGGCAGGCUUAACACAUGCAAGUUGAACGGGAUUUGCUAAGUGCUUGCACGGAGCAAUGAGAGUAGCGCACUGGUGAGUAACACGUGGGAACAUGCCUUUUGGUGGGGGACAACAGAGGGAAACUUCUGCUAAUACCGCAUAAGCCCUAAGGGGGAAAGAUUAAUUGCCGAAAGAUUGGCCCGCGGAAGAUUAGGUAGUUGGUGGGGUAAAGGCCUACCAAGCCGACGAUCUAUAGCUGGUCUGAGAGGACGAACAGCCACAUUGGAACUGAGACACGGUCCAGACUCCUACGGGAGGCAGCAGUGAGGAAUAUUGGGCAAUGGAGGAAACUCUGAACCCCAGCCAUGCCGCGUGAGUGAAGAAGGUUUUCGAAUUGUAAAGCUCUUUCGGAUACGAGGAUGAUGACGGUAGUAUCUAAAGAAGCCCCGGCAAACUUCGUGCCAGCCGCCGC